AGCUUAUGAAUAUCAACAGCCAUGAAUUUCUCAUCACCUUUUCUUUUCAUCUUGUUACUCUCCCAUCUUCUUUCCCAUUCUACUUUCUCCACUGCCAAACUUGAAGAUGUCAAGAUGCAGAGAGAGAAAGAAUCGUCAAUACUGGAAUAUUUUCACGAGUCAUUUGGGCAUGGAGGUAAGAGGAAAGAGUUGCAUGAAGUACAUUCAGGACCAAAUCCCAUCAGCAAUGCUAUUCCUCAAUAUAAAAAUGAAAACUUGAACAA